rnacentral:rRNA from 1 species
AGGUGCUGCACGGCUGUCGUCAGCUCGUGUCGUGAGAUGUUGGGUUAAGUCCCGCAACGAGCGCAACCCUCGUGUUUAGUUACUAACAGUUCGGCUGAGGACUCUAAACAGACUGCCUGGGUAACCAGGAGGAAGGUGAGGACGACGUCAAGUCAUCAUGGCCCUUACGGCCAGGGCUACACACGUGCUACAAUGGGGUAUACAAAGAGCUGCAAUACGGUGACGUGGAGCAAAUCUCAUAAAAUAUCUCCCAGUUCGGAUUGAAGUCUGCAACUCGACUUCAUGAAGUUGGAAUCGCUAGUAAUCGUAGAUCAGCAAUGCUACGGUGAAUACGUUCCCGGGUCUUGUACUCGCCGCCCGUCACACCAUGGGAAUUGAAUUCAUUCGAAGCGGGGAUGCUAAAAUAGCUACCUUCCACAGUGGAUUUAGUAACUAGGGUGAAGUCGUAACAAGGUA